GACGAACGCUGGCGGCGUGCUUAACACAUGCAAGUCGAACGGAAAGGCCCUGCUUUUGUGGGGUGCUCGAGUGGCGAACGGGUGAGUAACACGUGAGUAACCUGCCCUUGACUUUGGGAUAACUUCAGGAAACUGGGGCUAAUACCGGAUAGGAGCUCCUGCUGCAUGGUGGGGGUUGGAAAGUUUCGGCGGUUGUGGAUGGACUCGCGGCUUAUCAGCUUGUUGGUGGGGUAGUGGCUUACCAAGGCUUUGACGGGUAGCCGGCCUGAGAGGGUGACCGGCCACAUUGGGACUGAGAUACGGCCCAGACUCCUACGGGAGGCAGCAGUGGGGAAUAUUGCACAAUGGGCGGAAGCCUGAUGCAGCAACGCCGCGUGCGGGAUGACGGCCUUCGGGUUGUAAGCCGCUUUCGCCUGUGACGAAGCGUGAGUGACGGUAAUGGGUAAAGAAGCACCGGCUAACUACGUG
rnacentral:rRNA from 1 species